rnacentral:rRNA from 1 species
AUUGAACGCUGGCGGCAUGCCUUACACAUGCAAGUCGAACGGCAGCACGGGAGCAAUCCUGGUGGCGAGUGGCGAACGGGUGAGUAAUGUAUCGGAACGUACCUUUCAGUGGGGGAUAACGUAGCGAAAGUUACGCUAAUACCGCAUAUUCUGUGAGCAGGAAAGCAGGGGAUCUUAGGACCUUGCGCUGAUUGAGCGGCCGAUAUCAGAUUAGCUAGUUGGUGAGGUAAAGGCUCACCAAGGCGACGAUCUGUAGCGGGUCUGAGAGGAUGAUCCGCCACACUGGAACUGAGACACGGUCCAGACUCCUACGGGAGGCAGCAGUGGGGAAUUUUGGACAAUGGGGGCAACCCUGAUCCAGCCAUGCCGCGUGAGUGAAGAAGGCCUUCGGGUUGUAAAGCUCUUUCAGCCGGGAAGAAAACGCAUGGGUUAAUACCCUGUGUGGAUGACGGUACCGGAAUAAGAAGCACCGGCUAACUACGUG